UACGGGGGGAGCAAGCGUUGUUCGGAUUUACUGGGCGUAAAGGGCGCGUAGGCGGCCACCGCAGGUCGGUUGUGAAAUCUCUGGGCUUAACCCAGAAAGGUCAACCGAUACUGCGGGGCUAGAGUGCAGAAGGGGCAGCUGGAAUUCUCGGUGUAGCGGUGAAAUGCGUAGAUAUCGAGAGGAACACCUGCGGCGAAGGCGGGUUGCUGGGCUGACACUGACGCUGAAGCGCGAAAGCUAGGGGAGCGAACGGG
rnacentral:rRNA from 1 species